GUAUGAAUGUAAUGAGUGAAGAAUGAAUGCCGCUGCAUAGGUCUGAGACUUGAGCUGAUCCCAAGCUGCACCAGGGCUCUCCCAUGAGGGAGCUCUGAACGCAAGGGGGGGGGUCAGCUGAACCUCGAGACUCAGCGGAUAUGUGAGGGAGUGACGACUCCCCUUAUUUCAUAAGCUGCUAAGGUCUGACACUCUAGACCCGGCAGACUCUUUCUUUGGAGUGUGUAAAGUUAGUUUAGGUGAGGGUUAGUCUAAACAUCCCUCCACACUGCCGAAAAGCACCCCUGUGUACUACAUGUACGUGCAUAAUGGUCCAAGGACCUGUAAGCAUUUAACAAAUUGGAAAAGAGGAAAAAUUAAAGCCCUGAGAGAUGAAAGUAAAGCUCAGCAAAGACAAACCAUAAGAAGGAAUAAAGAAAGUAGAAAUACAGACAUUAGAAAGUUACUAGGAAUGAGGAAUGUUUUUCUUUAGAAGGACGAAGCAAGUGAUUAAAGAGUAUGUGAAGGUGAGAAGUGACUGCAUAGGAGAGUGGACGGAAUUAAGCGAUUGUUGUUAUAUAUGAAGGGAAACCUGCUUUAAGAAAUGACUCCUUGUUUCUUGUCGUCUCUUUUUAUCAUCUUAGCAAUGAAACAGUCAAGUUAAACAUUUGGUUACAGACACUUUGUUAAAUCUAUUAAAGAUAAAAUAAGGAAUUCUAUUGAAACUUAAUUGGUUAACCGCAUAAAAGAAUAGAAUCUAUACAUUGUAAAUUUGUACAACCUGCACCCUUAGGGUUAAAUGUGUCUUCCAAGGAACCUAAUUAUUGUUUAAAAAAAUCCAAGCCCAGAAACUUCACAGUGUUUCUGUUCAAGGCUGAGCUGAUAGCACUUUUGGCUUGCUUUCAGAUCCAAGGUUGUGUGUGUCUGCAAACUGCCUGUCUGUUCUGGAAGGGGGGGAGCACUGUCCCCCAUAAAUCAUCAAGAAGCGCUAAUAUCAUAUGAAAAUUAACCGAAGGAAAAAAAAAAAAACCAUGGUUCUGUGUCAUGACAUAAUAAGUUUGUGUUCUGUGUUCUGUCCAGAUUUGUCUUGUGUGUGUCGAUUGUGAUAUAUAUAUAUUUUUAACAUUGUUGUGUGUACAAUAUUGUUGUUUUAAUGAAAGAAUAAUUUAAGUCCCUUGAAUAAUCUUAACAUUGUGCUUUAUAUAAAUGGUUCUUGCCUUUAUAAUUUUAGUAGAGUUUUAGUAGCAGGCUAUGCAGUUUGUACUGUCUAGAAUGUAGUGAAAUCUGCUCCUCUACCUGCUGUUUUUCCCUUCUCUCCUACCAUCGCCAGCUCCUACGCCGUCUCUUUCAGAACUGGCCCUCCUGCGAAACCACGCCCCAGAAUCAGAAAAGCAGGAGUGGAGACUGGCAGGGUGCACCUUGCGCCCAGACCACUUGUGGUGCAGCUCCGAUGGCCACAUUGUUGCCCCAGUGGUCUUGCUACCUCACUUUGCCUCCGUGCUCCAUGGAUUCUCGCACGUUGGCAAAGGGGGGAUGGUGGCAAUCCUAAAGCAAAAAUUGGUUUGCUCCCAAAUUCUCCCAAGCAGCCAAAGAUUACUGUCUGGCUUGCCCUGUCUGCCAAGCCCACAACGUGGGUAAACCUGUAAAGACAGUUCCGGCAACCAGACCUCCGCCUUUAGGACCAUUUCUGAAUUUACAAAUGGACUUUAUUCAAUUGCUUAAAUGUCAAUCUUUUAAAUAAUGUGCUGGUUAUUGUUUGCUUGUUUUUGGGAUGGGUAGAAGCUUAUCCCUGAAGGAAACAUGAUGACAUCACAGUAGCUAAGAAACUUCUAAAUUAUUACAUCCCAUCAUGGGGAAUACACCUUGUGAUCUCCAGGAAUAAAGGUAUCCACUUUACUAGGCAAAUUGUUCAAAAAAACUGGAAAAGUACUACUCUACCAGACAAGCACUGCACUGUGCACGACACCUGGAGAGCGCAGAAGCAGUAGAAAGAUGAAACAGGAUUUUAAAGAACGAACUUGCUAAAAUAUGUGAGAACUCUGGCUUAACAUAGAUAGUAGCACUCCAGAUUGCCCUAAUGAGCAUGAGAGCCACUCCUAAUCAGAAAACUGGACUCAGUCCACAUGAAAUUGCAUGUGGCCAACCUAUGAGACUGUAAAGUAGCCCAGAAAUUAACCUGGCUGAUGCCACACUUGUUAAAAGAAGCAUAGUCAAGUAUUGCCAGGAACUUAUGAGGUGUGUACAGUCUUAUCAUUUACAGGUUAAGGACGCCUUCCAGGAGGCCCCAACUGAGCUGUGCCUUAAACUACAACCAAGAAACUGGGUUUGCGUGAAAGUUCACCAGCGGAAGACUGCCCUGGAACCCAGGUGAAAGGAUCCCUACCAAGUCCUUCUGACCACCCAUACUGCUGUAAAGUGCGAAGGAUUGCCCACCUGGAUUCACGCAUCCCACUGCAAACCCGUUCCAGUCCCUACAGAGGUUGUCCCCAACAAGGAGCACCGCAGACCUGGUACUGGAGACCCAGGUCCAGAAGCAGAUGGGAAUCACCACAGACCUGGUACCAGAAACCCAGGUCCAGAAGUAGACGAGGAUCAGCGCAGGCUUGGUACCGGCAAUCCAGGCCCAGAAGCAGACGAUCCUAAGAGGCCGAGGCUAAAGUACCAGCUGCGGCCCAGUAGAACCUGCCAGCGAUAGGUGUAGCAAUCUACGAAGUCCUGAAGAACAGCCAGCAUGAGGCUGGACAAACAAUUCAUGUUGAGCUUAUGCUUAAUCUUGUUUUUAAAACUAGCAGUUAUAACCUAUAUGGUUCAAAUGUGUUUAUGCUUUUAAUGAACCAAG